ensembl:lncRNA
GACACGCCUCGGCGCGCGGUGAGCCUUGAACUCCGAUUUGGGGACGGCCGGGGUCGCUAGGCUGGCGGAGGUGGGGCCCCGCACUCUGAGGCUGUCCCCGCCGGGUGCCCCGACCCCCGCCACCCGCGGCACCCCACUGGACAGCACCCACAAGAGCUGCUCCUCCUCCCCCUCCCCUUCCUGGAGCGCCGGGGCUUAGGCGGGAGGAGGGACGGGCCCCCUGCACUGCCGGGCUGUAUUUGCAGUCACGCCGAGCCCACCUCGCCGGGGGGACUUGCCGCAUCACUGGCUACAGCCCUUUCUCAAAUGGGCGCCACGUCCUCGCGCGGGAAGCCCCCAACCAACACAUACGCUGCGUGCUCUUUGUAGCUGCCUGACCUCCCCAACCAGACUGUGAACCCUGACGUCAGGACUGGCGCAGGUGUGUCUGCGUCUCCCCGCAGGUCUUACCUGAGGAUGUCCCGGGGAACGGGCCUCUUCAGACAUUGCCCAGCAGCUCCCAGCUCCCAGGGCAACGCCGGUUCCCUUUGCCUGUUCAGAAUAGGCGGCUUUCCCCUGGGAAGGAAAACUGCGGGAUCGCCGUGGCACAGAGUUCUUCCGGGACUCCAGAUUCUUCAGAUUAGUCUUGCCCAUGGUUCUGGGCAAGAUGUUUCCCGCCUGAAGGCACUGGAUUGAGUCGGCCUGAAGCCCGUAGGUUGAAUUUGGGCGCUCAGAAUAGAAGAUGUGGAAACCAAUUAGGUUCUCCCCUAGAGACUUGAUUUAUGAGCCUCCUUCCUAACAGAGCAUGUGGCAGAGCUGAAGUCAAAAAUGAGAGAGAGGAACUUAAAGUUAACUCUUUAGUCUGCGGUAGAAGGUACUCAACAACAACAGAAACUAGUUCCAGCUUUCUUAGGGUUUCAGAGGAGAACCAGGGCUCUGCUGGGAAGGCCUGGAUGAGAACACCAAGAGAAGCCUGGAAGUGAGCGCCUGUCAGGGCCCUGUGACUCUGUCGGGCCAGGACCAGGAGUGGGUCCAGACCUCCCUACUUGCCUCUGUGCCUCUUCUGGUUGAAAAAGAUGAAGCCAAGAGGAAGGAAGUGCGGUGUCCUCAUGGAUGUGAGCACAUUCCGUCCUCCGUGCUCAGAUUCAGAGACCUAGAGCUGGUCUGUGGCCAGGAAAUCGGGAUUCCUGAAUGUGCUGGAUGUUUUUCUUGCCCCUCCGGAUGUACUUUCCACCCUUCUCGCCUGCCCUAUGCCCUGGCAGGCUGGCCUCUGUGGACCACAGUCAAAGGCUCCCUUGUGCCGUGGCCUGGCGUUGGGUUCAGCCUAUAGGUGACACUGGCAGGUGAAUGAGAUCCAGGACCCUAAUUGACACGCUGAGUUUUCUUUACUUCAAUUUUCCUCUCCUUGGACCCUGGAGUCAACCUCAUUCACUCUACCAACAUGGUAUCUGUAAUAUGCUGGUUAUGAGCUCAGCACCAGCGAUGCAGAGACGAGAGACGGAGGUCACAGUCAAUGACCAUCCCAGAUGAUGUGGGUUACGCUGGAGACCGUGAGCUGUUAAAUCUGAAAG